AAAGAUUAAGCCAUGCAUGUCUAAGUAUAAGCAAUCUAUACGGUGAAACUGCGAAUGGCUCAUUAAAUCAGUUAUCGUUUAUUUGAUAGUACCUUACUACUUGGAUAACCGUGGUAAUUCUAGAGCUAAUACAUGCUAAAAACCUCGACUUCGGAAGGGGUGUAUUUAUUAGAUAAAAAACCAAUGCCCUCCGGGGCUCCUUGGUGAUUCAUGAUAACUUAACGGAUCGCAUGGCCUUGCGCCGGCGACGGUUCAUUCAAAUUUCUGCCCUAUCAACUUUCGAUGGUAAGGUAUUGGCUUACCAUGGUUU
rnacentral:rRNA from 1 species